AGAACAUAGGAGUCACAUCAUCAACACAAUUAAAAUCCAAGCCAUGCUCAAUCAAUCUGUUAUAUUUCAUACAAACAAAAAAAAAUUUAACAACAAAUGAUAGUGAUGCUAUCCAUUUCACUGGCUAUUACAGUGACAUAACAUUAAAUUGGGUUGAUGAUCCUUCUUGCAACCCCUUAAAUAUUGUCAUCCAACAACUUUUUCAAACUUCAACUAUGUGAGAGGCUUUGUUUUCUUUAAACUGGUAAACAGUCCUCUCAGGCCAAUACCAAUUACAAAAGGUUAUAGAGAUUCCUCAUAUAUUUGGUAACUGUACAAAUUUUCUGGUUGUCAACAGCCAUAGUGAACCACGAUAUAAAAAAAAGGUCAUGCUGGCCCAUUAUAAGGCUGCCAAUAUUGGAGUUUUUAUCCUAGAAUGUUGCAAAGCAACUUAUCUAGGCACACUCCAAGACUUUUGAAUCCUCUAAAAAGUCCACAAUGGUGAUGCCACGCAAACCACCAACCUACAUUUACCAGAAAGAUAAUAAUAUUAGUUGAAGUCUUAUUGUGAUGCAUGAUAACACCGAAACUUGUUCACUAAUGAACUCAAUAUGCUCCACAAGAUCAUAUUUAGUUUUAUAACACAAUCACAGAGAGCGUGGCAAUCAAACCGCCCAAUUUGAAAUUAUUAUUACCCACAGAUGCGGCAAAAAUAUAAAGGAAACACACUCAGUAAGUCCUGCAGGAAACCUCAAGAAACAAAUAAAUCUUCCAUAUGCAUUCUCCAAGCACGUCUCCUUCCUACACUUUUAUUGUUGAAAGCUUCUUUAAGGGCAUACUAUGCUAAAUAAUUCAAUUCUAUCAAUCUAGAACUUUGUCAACAUAAAUUCCCGUAGCAUGGUGUAAGCACUUUUUACUAGAAAUUUGGCCAAACAAACAUGGUUACUGUACUUUCAUUUACCAAAUAUUAUCAAACAUUGUUCCAAUUGUGGCAAUCCAAAAUAUAAUCAUUAGCAAGCGAGGCAUCAAUCAAGAAUUCAAAAACAGUUAUUUUUCAGCACAACUUGAUGGAAUUGACCAAAAAGUCGCUCCUUCGCUAAUCCAUACACAAAUGCUUGUAAUAGGCAAGAAAUAAUUGACAAAUUGUGGGCAAGACAUCGACUCUCACCUCCUGCUUGUUUGCAUGUGUGGUUUUUCUUCCAAAGUCCCAACUUCAUGAUACUGUUCUCCCAUAGCAGAUGGAUGCAAUGUAUAGAUUCUUUGACCAUUUAUCCUACCAUUUAGAUGAAAGAAAAAUUCCUUACCUGCUUUUUUACUAUUCCAAACUUUCACAUGUAAAAUUAACUUACCAAGACAUUUUAAGGACUCUCAAAAUAAACAUUUGCAUAUAUAAGAAUUUGGUGUAGAACAACCAUUAUAAUGCAUGAAAGCUCUCUAUGUCAGUCAAUUCUUAGAUAAAACAGAUUCAUUAAGAUAAUUCUGAAAAAUCUUUAACCACAAAGAAUUAGAGCUAAAACUAUUUUUAUCAGUUUUUAGCCCUUAAACAUACACUGCAUUCAAUUAAUGCACAAAAUGAUAUGCUUACAAAUUUGCAAUGCAGCUUCUUUCCAAGACUAAGCUCUAACAAAAGAUAAGUGAUCUUUCCAAACCUCAUAUAAUGACAUCUUUUUCUUUUCCCAGAGAAAAUUCAUUAUGAACUUAAUAUACAUGGUAGAUAACACAGACUGAAUUAAAGCAAUUCUUGCAGUGGAAAAAUAAAAUUUUCACCACCAGGUUUGUAGAUUGGGAAGCUUGCUCCCUUUAUUCAUAGCUCCAAUGCACUAGAAUCUUAUUAGUUCAUAGAAAAUCCUCACCUCAGACCCAGUGCAUGGACAUGCCAUACAUCACAUAAUGUGAAUAUUAUUCCCAUAAACAGCUAUAAUGAAAUCUCCCCAAUUAGAAAAAAGAAGUAAAUUUGUGGGAAAAGGAAAAUGGACGGAGAACGUAGCAGAAAAUCAGUAAGCAAGUAUCAGAGACCCUAGUAAAUUGGUGGGACAUAUUUAAGCAUCAAAGAGGGCGGGGGAGGGGGAGUUGUAACAAAAUUUAUAUGUACCUUGACAUGAGUACUAGGAAAUGCAGAAGUCCGCAAGGUUUCCUGUGCCACAUCUUGUGAUUUCCUCUUGGGAGCACUAAGUAUGAAUGCAGCUUGAUCUGCUGUAGCAGCAGUUGAGGUUAUUCGAUAUCCAUUCUCCCACCUUCUAUGGAUCCCCUCACUGGGAUAGAGGAAAUCAAGCUCAACAACCUGACUAGGAUAACCUGCAUUCCUGGACAUUACAAUGCCCCACUUGCUACCUGCAGUGGUCAUUGAGGUAACAGAGAAGCCUUCUUUCCACUUUUUAUUGAUCCAUUUGAAAGGAAAUACAUCACUAACUUUGUAGGAUUGUUGAGUAUAAGGAGUACCCUUUGACAUAACAACCAAGGCACUGCCAUUAGCUGUGCCAGCAACAGAAGUGAUAUAGUAAUUCUUGUCCCAUUGUUCCAUUAUCCACUCCUUGUGUAAGAAAAAGGGAGAUAAUUCAUAAACCUGUGAUGUAAACCCUGUUCCCGCGUCCAUAAUAAUGGCCCACAAAUUUGCAGAUGAGGCCACACAGCUAAUAUACAAACCAUCUUCCUUCCCUUUCACCACAUGCUGGUCAAUUCUUGAAUCCAUUACAUUGUAGUGAUACCUCUGCUUCAUUGACAAUCUGAAAUUAUAGACUGAGAUCCACUGUGUAGCUGGAGUACCAAGCCGUACUUUCUUCUUGAGCUGCCCACCAUCCUCCAAUUCAACAAGUGACCUUCCCCUCUUUUGACCCACCUUAAUAGCUCCAUCAGUUAGAAUAGGUCGUAACAUAAUAUUGGAGCCUAUGCUGUUGUCAAAAAGGGAAAUGAGCUUUGAAUAAUUGGGUUCUUCAUCAAAUCUCAUGUUGGUCACCAUGUCAUGAAAUUGUUGAAAAGGAGGAGGACACAAGAAACAAAGCAUUUCAGGAGAAGUUGCCAUCUUCUUUUUACAAACAAGGAAUCCUUUGUUUUCUCCCUGAAGCUCAAAGACAAAUCAAAUCAUAAUAUAUAGCGAAACAAAAGGAAAUCCAACAAGCAAAAGUUGCAAAAUUAAGUUAAUCAUGGUGUAAAAACUUACAACAUAACCUUGCCAAGGAAGCUUUCCCUUAAGGAGGAAUAUGAGGGUAUAAGCUAGGGACUCAAGAUCAUCCCUUCGGCUACCCGUCCUACCCAAAUGAGCAUGUACACUAGCAUACCGAACAGUUCCCCUGAAAACAUCAGGCUUUUGGUCAUAAUCAACAUGACGACCAGAAGUUGCAUCCCGCCAUCUUGAAGCCAAACCAAGAUCAAUUAGAUACAACUUCUUUUCAUUGGGUGUCCCAGGCUGGCCAAGCAAAAAGUUCUCUGGCUUAACAUCCCCAUGAACAAAACCUCUUAAGUGGAGCUGUUCUAGAAUUGAUAUUGCCUCCACUGCUAUACAAGCAACCAUCUGUUCAGACAGCGUUUGAUUAUUAGAGUUCCAAACAUCCCAAAGGCUAGGUCCAAGCAUGUCCAUGACUAGGAUAUAGUAGUCGCUUUGUUGACCUUUAUAAUGAACCAAUGGUAGCCCAUAACAACCAUUGAGAGUGCUAUAUACUUGCCACUCAUAAGGAGGGCCGUAACUGCAUCCUUUGCUAUUACAGUGCUCAAAUUUCAAAGCAACCUCAACAGCAUCAGGCCCAGUACGACCUGUACCACCAGACACCCUUCUUCCAACAUAAACUUGACCAAAACCCCCUUUCCCUAGCUUUCUCUCUAACUUGUACACAGGGGAGUUCCCAAAUUGUACCCUCUCAGGAAGCGGACUUGUGCUUCCUUCCUCUUCUCCAGCAGCCAAUUUUUCUGCACUUUUCUCAACUGCCUGUCUUGCUGGCAAGUCCAGACCUGCACGUCCCCUGCCACGCACUCCACCAACUAAAAGCUUUGCAUUCUCAUCUUGGUUCAUUGCUCUAGAGCCUCUACCUCGACCUCUUCCAGCACCACGCCGAGCAGUUGGAACUAAACCAGAAGGAUUCUGGUUUUGUUUGACCCUCUGUGAUCGCCGAACUCCAGCUUGCAAAUCUGGCAUUCUUUUCCCAUGCAAAAGUUACUUAUUUCUAUCUAGCGGAACAGGGAAAUAUGGAUAAUCAUCCCUUUAUGGAAUGAAUUGGAAAUUUAAAACCAGAAUCAUCUAAGCUAAAGGAUUUGAUGAAGGUAAUGAGCUCAAACGAAUUUUGAUCCUUUUUUAUGGAAGGAAAAAUAAAGAAAGAAUCGAUGGUGGUGGGUGACUUCUUGGUAUAUGUAAUGUGUGUGGGGGAGAGACGGUGCACGGGUAUCUAAGUGCGCACGUUAG
rnacentral:misc_RNA from 1 species